rnacentral:lncRNA from 1 species
CACUACAGCCCUCAAGUCACUACUCCGUCCCACAUUACUACCCUCACGUCACUGUAACAUAACAACCAACAUACUGCUAGACGACAGCCCUUAAGUCACUGCAAAACAACAGUCAGCUAGAGACGGCAUCCCUUACAUCACACAACACACAACCCGCUGCAACGUACUACAUCACUAUAUCACAACACACACCCUCUGCAACAGUACUACAUCCCUUACAUCACAACACACACCCUCUGCCACAGUACCACAUCCCUUACAUCACAAUACACACCCUCUGCAACAGUACUACAUCCCUACAUCACAACACACACCCUCUGCAACAGUACUACAUCCUCAAUCACACAACACACACCCCUGCAACAGUACUGCACCCUUACAUCACAACACACACCCUCUGCAACAGUACCCACAUCCCUUACAUCACACACACACCCUCUGCAACAGUACCACAUCCCUUACAUCACAACACACACACCCU